GGCGGAACUCGACCGGGCCAGCCCCGGUAGCAGAGACCCACAGAGACCAGAGAAGCAGGGACCCGCCAGCAACGAGGAGCAGACGAGCCGUGGGACCCACCGCUUCCCAGGGAGCUAGGAGUCCAUAACGGCAGGGAGGCACGACAGCAGGUGGCUGGAGCGGGAAGCUGGCUGAUCUCAUCUCAACUGCACACAAAAAGCAGAGAGCGUGAACUGGAAGUAGGCAAGGCUACAAACUGUCAAAGCUCACCCCCAGUGACGUACUUCCUCCGGCAAGACUCUCAUCCAUAACCUCCCUAAACAGCACCACCAACCAGGGACCACACGUUCAAAGCUAUGAGCCUAUGGGGGACAUUUCUACUGAAAAACACCACAGGGAUCAAACCUAGGACUUCAUGAAUGUUAAGCAAGCACUCUACCAACUGAACCACAUUCUCAGUCCUGGGCCUUAAUUUCUCUUUGGAAAUGGACAAAGAACCUACGAACUACGCGAGGUAAGCCAUUGGACACAGGCACAGAUCGCAGGCUUCAAUUCAUAGAAGGACAGUAUCUCUGACAUACAAGCUCCCAUCUGGAUGACCUUGAAUGACCUCAGCAUAUUCCUCUAACCCUCCUGAACCACAGGUUCCACCUCUAGAAAUUGGGCAGUUUUAUCACCCACAGAAGAGCAAAUGCUUUGUGCGUGGCUGGCAAUAGGAAGUGCCCAUGGUAGGUACCCACCUGAACAAGCUGAAAGAAACAGCCCCAUGUGGAGAUUGGGGUUCACUUGGAUCACAGCCAGCCAUGGACACUGAUGAGGGACACACAGGGGCCCUCUAUGCAGGAGGUCAGAUGAAGCCAAAGGGAUAGGAGUCAGGCCUUAGUGUUUGAAGAGUCCUGAGGCAGAAGGCUCGAGAGUAACACCCAAGGAAGGCCUUCCAGAGCCACAAAAGACCCAUGCUUGGGUCAAGUUUCUCUUCUAUCUCCGGUAAACAAGAUAACACCUGCCUUCUUUGCUGCCAAAGGAUAACCGGAGACUCUUGUGAAGCAUUAAAUGGAUCACACCCAUAAAGAGCAAAUUUAAAGUAACAGGAUGGAGAUUGUUCUCUGGCUCAAAGUCGGUGUUUAUGAAGUGGGUGUGCAUUGAGCUCUCUAACCUUCAGGGUUAUGCAGACAUCUUGGGGAAUUCCUGCAAUCUGAAAGAUUCAGAGAGGUGCCCUCUGAUUGACACCCUAUGCUGGACUCUGCCUGAUCCAUCUGCUGGUCCAGCCUUACCUUCAAGGUGGUCUCUUUGCAGUCUUGGAGACAACCUCGAGUACAGGGGGUCUUCACCCAGGCCAGAGGUCUUUGUGCUCAGGGAUCAGGAUCCCCUCAACUCAGCCCAUGACUGAUCAUUCUAAGCAGAGCUUCUCCUGGCCCCACUUUGCAGGUCCCCUACCAUCUCUCUGUCCUGUGCUUUUCUGAGGGAGCUCUCCCAAUCUCCUCCUCUCAGCCAGGCGAGGUGGCCCUCACCUAUAAUCCCAGUGCUCAGGAGGUAGAGGCAGGGGGAUCAGGAAUUCAAGGUCAUCCUCGAUUACAUAGUUGGAAGUCGGUGUGGCAGUGUAUGCCUUUAAUCCCAGCUCUCAGGAAGCAGAGGCAAGCAGAUCUCUAUAAGGCCAGGGCUACACAGUGAGACCCUGUUUCAAAAAUAAAUAAAUAAAACAAAAAGACCCGA